GAUGGCGGCCAUAGCCCUGAGUGAUAUACCUGAUCUCAGCCGAACUCAGUAGUCAAGCCUCAGGACGUCAUGGGAAAUGUGCGGUGCGCGAGCCCGUGACAAGCCCAUGAGCUGCCACAU
rnacentral:rRNA from 1 species